GAGAAUAUAUAAUGGUUAAGAACGAUAAUUUCAGUUUGCCUACGGACAUCUCGACGAUGCAGUCAGUUACACCGUGAGCGAUUUUCCAGGUAUAGAGUGUGUUCAAGUGACGUCAUCAAAUUCUCAAAUCCAAGACUAAAGAGCCCCUAAAAGUUUUAUCCUCGUCAGGGAUAAGAGGAUCAGUCCGUGCCGUUUAUUAGAGACCUUUAGCAUCGAGAGGGUCGGCGACCGGAAGUAAUUUUCAUUUCCGGCAUACUUGAGACCCGCGCAGACGUCAAAACGCUGCUUGUCGCGGUGCAUAGAAAACAAAUGAGCUUCUACGGGAAAGCCGCGGUAUUCGAAACUGAUCUCAAUGAUGGCUAAGUCGGAUUGUUAAGAGGAAACAGAUGAUCCCUAGGGCGAUGACUAUUACAACUACCGCCGCCGCUGCUGAAAUGGCAACAACAAGAUACCAUGGCUUGCUGCUGCUGG